rnacentral:rRNA from 1 species
AUUGAACGCUGGCGGCAUGCUUUACACAUGCAAGUCGAACGGUAACAGGCCUUCGGGUGCUGACGAGUGGCGAACGGGUGAGUAAUGCAUCGGAACGUGCCCAGAGGUGGGGGAUAACGCAGCGAAAGCUGUGCUAAUACCGCAUGUGAUCUGAGGAUGAAAGCGGGGGACCAGGCAGCAAUGUUUGGCCUCGCGCCUUUGGAGCGGCCGAUGUCAGAUUAGGUAGUUGGUGGGGUAAAGGCCUACGAAGCCGACGAUCUGUAGCUGGUCUGAGAGGACGACCAGCCACACUGGGACUGAGACACGGCCCAGACUCCUACGGGAGGCAGCAGUGGGGAAUGUUGGACAAUGGGCGCAAGCCUGAUCCAGCAAUGCCGCGUGCGGGAAGAAGGCCUUCGGGUUGUAAACCGCUUUUGUACGGAACGAAAAGGCUCUGGCUAAUACCUGGGGCUGAUGACGGUACCGGAAGAAUAAGCACCGGCUAACUACGUG